UUACUUUUUGUCCUUGAAAGAGUCAUGGUGAUCUUCACCAAUUCCUUAUUUCACCUUUAUCUUGGCUAACGUCAUAUGCUUGGGAAAGAUCUAUAUUCAUAUGUCAACUUGGAGGUAAGUUGUGACAGCCCGAGACCGACGUUCCAAAAGAUUCCCCUUCUAUUCCGUUUUCGUCGUGUGUCUAAUUUAUUUUGUCGCAUCAUCAUCGCAUCAUUCACAUCAUCUGCAUUGCAUCGACAUCUUCGUGGCCGCCAAUUUUCAAAAAAGUUGCAUCCGUUGUUAGUUGUCGGUUCUCGUCGUUGUCCGUUCUGAGCCCGACCGCACUCGCACGCGCCAGCGGCAUCGUUUAAACCCUGUUUUAAAAGUGUGCGUAAAACUUUCCCUGGCCAGGGUGAAACUUGGAAUGCGGUCGUGAUUAGUUAUAAGUAGGCCGCAUGUCGAAUUUCGUCGCGAUCGGAGUCCAUCUUGUACCCGAACGGUCGACCGUAGCGGCACCGUCUUCGGUUAUUCGUCGGAUGUUUGUCACUAUUUUAAAACUUGUUGCCGCGCCGUCCGUUCUCCCUCUCGUCUCCGGAUAUCCCCUCUACACGGCCUCUUAACCGUUCCCGCACUCGGAAUUAUCCGAAUCCGACCGCACGGUUGGAUCCGGAACGCAAUUCCGGUUAACCUAGCCCCCCUUUCUCUAUAAAUAGACCUCCGCCUUAAUUUUAGGUAGCCAACCCCCGUGUGCCUCGAAAACCGUGCAACCCCUAACCCUAACGCACUCUCUCUCUCCUCCCUCCCUCCUCUGCGCAGCCGCCGGGCCCGACAGGCCCAGAUCGGGCCCGACCAAGCCCAUAUGGCGAGCGCCGUCGUGUGCCCGAGCAGCAGAGCCCCGAGCUCCUCCAGCCGCCCGUGUCCCGCACCUUCAUCCGCCGGUCGCCGCCGG
rnacentral:lncRNA from 1 species